GAGUCCGCAGCCAGGAUUUCAUCAUUCUUUUCUCUGUAACUUGCUCAUCUAACACUUAGCCCGCAUGGCAUUCUGGUGUUCCAGCCUAAGAAAGCACAGCACAGAUUUCCAUCUUCCUCAACAAUAGCGCUGAUUGUCUCAGAGAGAGAAAGAAUAAACAUGACGGAGCGAGCGUGCCUGCACUCACUGGGUGAUUUUGGAUUUGCUGGAGUGAAGAUAAUCAGCGUUCAUUCCUCCCAUCUCCUCUUCCACACAGAGAGCUAGAGGAUGGGAAAUUGGGAGGCAACAGAGCGAUUCAGGAUUCUGAUGCACGUGCUGUUUUGUCAAAACUGAUGCCAGACAUCUUAAUCAUCCCAACAGCAGCACGAGACACGAGAGUAACUCAACUGCGACAUCUGGUCUUUCUGGGAUUUCUUGGAAGUGUCAAGAGGCCUCGGAGGUUUAGCCUACACAACAGAAUGUCAGAGCUAUCAGUGGAUUCGGAGGAGAGGGAGGCAUUCAGGAAACUUGUCAGAACUACAGAAGUGUUCAACAGUGAAUAAGGAUUCCAAACAUCAAAGGAUUUAGGGAACUCUACCCCCUCCAAAAUGGGAACCAGGGUACCAAUAAUAGUCUGUACUAACUGACUCCACAUGUAAACAGCACAGAAACACCAUAGUAAAACCACUCCUGGCAGCUAUAACUGCACACCUGACCAGAAGCAAGUGGCCACAAGGGGAGAGGUGGAAGAGGAACUUUGCCUCUACUGUGCUUCAUCGGACCAUUAGCUGCCCACCUGUCCUCACACCCAGAGCUGUUUAGUGAUUUCCAGCCAAGCCAGCACCAUGGGACGGCAAUGAAGCAUCCUGACAACUACUGGUUGGAUUGACAAGACAUUUUUAUUUUUAAGACAGUUUUAUUCAGACCCCUUAUCAUUUAGUUCAGUCAGUAGGUUGACAUUUCCAGGUUUACUGUAACAUUUCUCCAUAACUAUUGAAUAAAGCUGCCCGAAAUUUGGUCCACAUACUCAUGUCUUCCAUAGGAUGAAUGGACUCAUCAUCCAGCCCCAACACUAGAUUAAAACUUCAGUUCAACUUAAAUUCUUUGGUUUUUGUACAAAGAUCUACAAAUCUAAUGACAAUCCCAUCAUCCUCAGCUGCACCCUGUGUUGGUAAUGAGCCACUGCUAGCAUGCAAAGAUGGUAAACAUUAUCUUAAUGACGAAAACUCUGUGUGUGUGUGUGUUCCACGUUUUUCUCCUCACUGACUUGGUCAAUCCAUGUGAAAUUUGGCACAGUGGUAGAGGGUCAUGGGAGGAUGCCAAUGAAGCAAUAUUACAUCAAUUGGCCAAAGGGGGGCGCUAUAGCAACUGAUUGAAAUGUCAAACUUUGAAUGGGCAUAUCUCAUGCCCCGUAUGUCGUAGAGACAUGAAACUUUGCACAGAGAUGCCUCUCCUCAUGAGGAACACAUUUGCCUCAAGAACCCUUAACUUCCGCUUAUAUAGAUUUUCCGCCAUUUUGAAUGUUUUGAAAAACACUUCAAAUGGAUCUCUUCCUAGGAAGUUUGAGCGAUCUGCAUGAAACUGGGUGAACAUAAUCUAGGGAGCAAUAUCUAAAGUUCCCUCUUGGCAAAAGUUGGAAAACUUACUAAAACUGAGCUUCUAUAAGGCAAUGAAUAUUGCGGAGGGCGUGGCUCAUCACAUAAAGGUGUAGAACAUCUCAAGGGUUUCACCCAUCACCACGCAACUUUGUAGGCAUAUGACCACACAUAAUCUGAGGGGACCCCUCCAUUAUUGACCCCACUUUAGACAAGUACCCAGCAGUCUAAAUUUAUUCUUUCAUUAUCCAUAACCACUGUUAAGGGUCGCAGGGGGGCUGGAGCCUAUCCCAGCAAACAGUGGGCGAGAGGCGGGGUUCAUCCUGGACAGAUUGCCAUAUGAUCACAGGGCUGUCAUAUAGAGACAGACAACCAUUCACGCUUACAUUCACACCUAUAGGCAAUUUGGAGUCACCAGUUAACCUAACUGGCGGAAAACUGGGAGAAAACCCACACUGAAACAAGGAGAACAUCCACACAGAAAGGCCACAGUCAGUCAGUGGGCUUGAAUCCAGAACCCCCUUGCUGUGAGGCAACAGCGCUAACUACUAUACCACUGUGCCGCCCCCAAGUGCCUAAAUGAAGUCUAUAAUUGUAGGUGUUUUUUUCUGGCAAUGACUGAAUUCAAACAUGUCACUGAAGGCUGAAAACAGCCUGCAUGGUCGGUGCUUAGUGCUUUGAAAUUUGCCUUUUGUUUGGCUGUUAGGUCAGGAGAAGCAAUUGCUCCUAGAAGUGGUUAUCUAAAUAAAAGGAAACAGCAGCUUUAGUGACAGGAUACAACCUUUAAUGUGUGUAUAGGAAAACUUAAGGUGUGUCAGCUAAUACUGCUUGUUAGUCAGAGCCUGUAAAUUGUCAUGAUGUACCAACUCUUUGGCUUUCUAGUGAGUAAACCCUCACAUGUCCAUUCCUCAUUCAACAGUCUCCUUAUUCCACAACAAUAAGUCAAUGACUUUAUUUGUUUUCUGUUUAAACAAAUGACUAAGGACAUUGUGUGACCUCCACUUCCUGUCCAUGGUGUUGAAAUACGCACCAAAUGGAUAAAUAAAAUUACUGCAGUCUUGCAUUCAGUAGUUUGCCUUUGUCCUUUACAUGUGUAACUCUUGAAUUCAAAAGUGAUGACUCAUGGCAAAGGCAUCAUGACGAUGAUCUGAUCUAAUCUAUAGACAGGUACACAUCCAAGGAGCUUGUCUGACAAGGUAGUCAUCCAGUCAUGACAAUGCUGGUCCCAGUGUGUCCUUGCACUCCCAUUAACGCUACACAAACACUUGUGAUUCAGCCAUAUUUAGUAUUGUGUAUUUAAAGCUGAAACAUCAACUGAGCACAGAGUCUUUAUCGUCCAAGUUAGGUCACAAGUCAUUUAUUUUCUGUCAAGUCAAGUUGCAAGUCAUCAAAACAAUGACUCAAGUCAACUUGAGUCCAAGUCCCAGUUCAGUUCACAUCUCUGUUAAUUCUGUGCUGAUUAACUCGACCUGUCAUCAUCUGUAUUUUCUAUUUUCCAAGUGCGGCUCAGGAGACCAGAGCGGGAAGUGGAGGGUGGUCUACCACCACAACAAGACUGCUGGGAGUUUAGAUCAGUCCCUCAGCCACAAGCAUCAAGUGUGUGUCAAGUUCCUCACUCCAGUGUAAAUUGUUGCUCUUUAUUUAGGUUUAGUUGCACAGGGAGAGAGAGAAGAAGGCUGUAGAGAGCUGAAGAGAAGUGACCAUUAUCCAGUCCUAUUUACUUCAGAGUUCAGGGCACAACCACAUUCACACAAUCAAGUAUCAGCUUCUCUCCAUCUGGGGCCCAAACAAAGGAGCCUCCGCAAUUCUUCAUCAAAAUGAGUACGGAUUCCAUUUCCCCAAGGGAAAACAACACAAUGAAGAGUCAGGAGGGUUAAUGAUACUUUUGAAUAACUCUCCAUGUGGGCCAUUUGGGGUUGAAUUUUCAGAAAGAGAGAGGGGGAAAAGAAAGAGACAGAGAGGACGAGAGAGAGGAGCAUGCUUCAUGACAACGAUCCCUUUUGAAUACAACCAGGCAUUGCUGCUUUAGCUUUUA